CAUGAUGUUACGGAAGUCGGGGGAGAGGAGUUGGUCAUGGUGAUGUUUCAAAGCCAGAGCCACACACAUCCUGAGUUUCUGCUUUCUUAUAGACAGGUUUUGACUACAAAAAGCUGUGGAAGAGCUGCAUGAGUUCUGACAUUAUGGAGAGGAGAGGGAUGAUUUCUAGCUGCGGAGGAAGAAUUCCAAGAAUUUGGUGGCAUCUGAGCUACAUCUCAAAAGACGAACAAUGAAUGCAUGAAAUUCAAAAGUACAGAUGGGGUAAAGGACGGGACUCUGAAGAUACAAAAAGCGGCUUAGAAGCACUCAGUCAGAAGCCAGCAACAGACCGAUGAAUUUGAAGGG